GUAGCCACGCGACACGGGGUAAGAGCUGAACGCAUCUAAGCUCGAAACCCACAUGGAAAAGAAGUACCGAUGAGGUCACUCGUAGAAGACGAGUUCGAUAGACUCGGGAUGUACGCACCGAGGCAACGAGGUGUUGAGUCCACGAGCACUAACAGACCGAAGCCA
rnacentral:rRNA from 1 species